UUUUUAUUUUGGUUAUUUACACGGUGAAGAUCCAUUCAGAUGCAUGCCAUGCUGUGUACCCACGUGAAGCCAGCAGGAGCCGAGCAUUAGGACUGAGGAAUGUUCUGAUGGCUACAUGUGCAAAACACAGUUUCAAAUAAAGAAAGAGACUCCAACACCACAUCGGGAAACACCCGCCAGUGUGCACACGUGUCUCCCCACAGAGUGAAAGCAGCAAUUGUGGUGUAUGGUGAGAGUCUAGACAUCCUUCAUACCUUUCCUCGGCUCUGAAGACCCACAGGACUUCCUGUCGUUUUGGUUUUUAUCCAGUGACAUCUCCACUGAUACAGAUCUGACUCUGCCUGCUCUGCCUUUGACAGCUUUUCUAGUCAUUUGGAAAUGUGUAGACUCUGGGUCUCAUUCUUUAGGAAAAUCUGAUUGACUUGAGACAUUUACAAAAUUAAACGUUAUUAAAGCACUGA
rnacentral:lncRNA from 1 species